rnacentral:rRNA from 1 species
AUUGAACGCUGGCGGCAGGCCUAACACAUGCAAGUCGAGCGAGCGGCGGACGGGUGAGUAAUGUAUGGGGACUGCCCGAUAGAGGGGGAUAACUACUGGAAACGGUGGCUAAUACGGCAUACUAUCGGAUAACCCAGAUGGGAUUAGCUAGUAGGUGGGGUAAAGGCUCACCUAGGCGACGAUCUCUAGCUGGUUUGAGAGGAUGAUCAGCAACAUUGGGACUGGGCCCAGCCCAAGACUCCUACGGGGGCACAAGUGGGGAAUAUUGCACAAUGGGCGAAAGCCUGACGCAGAAAUGCGGCUUGUAUGAAGAAGGCCUUAGGGUUGUAAAGUACUUUCAGCGGGGAGGCGUUACCCACAGAGGAAGCACCGGCUAACUCCGUGCCAGCCGCCGCGGUAAUUC